CCUGGAUGAAACAAACAUUCUAGAAGCUUCCAGCAAGGGCGGAGCUUUAUGGUGUGGUUGGCUGGGUCUAUAAACAGCAGCUUCACAUCCUCUCUUUCCUUUCUGCUGGCAGAGUGUGUUCUGACCAGACAGUCCUGCUGAGGGCAUUUCUCAGAGGUGUGUCCAACUACAAUGGAGCGCCCACCUUUUACGCUUGCUUAACUUGUUAUUCAGGAGGAGAAAGAAGAGACUGCUCCCAAGGGCAGGCCAGCAGUGUCCCGAGUCUCUCCGGAGUCCAGUGAUGCUGUUGUGCAGAUCCAGUGCUUGGUAGAAAAGAACCAUCUGAAGAAUGAAAAGCACUGACCUCGAAGCAACGUAUCAACUACGAGACAAAACUGAAGCAACCACAAAACGCAAAAAAUGAAUGAAACCCCCCCUUACCCUUUGGUCUAUCUGUAUCCUAACCUCCGGGUUAGUUUAUGGAGGGCCGGCUUCUGGUUGUCUGCGUUGCUUGGUUCGGCAUGGUUCGAGGGGUCAUGUCGAUAAAACGUAUUUGUUCUCCCUUUUUGUAUUUAAGGCAUGCUGCAUUGUUUCCUACUGUUUAUUAAAAAAAAAAUCAAAUAAAAAUAGAAAAACUUGAAACUGAAUCAUUUGUCUGUCUUUUUUUUUUUUUUUUUUGCAAGUUGUUUGUUAAACCCUACAAUCUCUCAAAGUCCAAAAAUGAGAUGCACAUUAUUGUUGGAAUAAUAUUUUUGACCCAUAUGGUAUCUUCUAUGUUUAAGUCACCGCGUCUUGAUUCUCCACCUAACAUCCAUUGAGUAUAUAAUAGGCUUUCCAAACUUUGUGUUUACAGUAGUUCAGAGGUGUUACCGAAUUACUGUUGUAAACGUCUCGUGUAGUCCACUUGAUGCAGACUAAGUCACUGGUACACUGCAAUCGAGCAUUUAAGUUUCGUUAUGAGUAAAAUCUGCCUGACAUCCUGGAUGUAAUAAACAUAGAAGUUUCUAGCAAAGGCGGAGUUUUGGUUGGCUGGGUCUAUAAACGGCAGCUUCACAUCACUUCUUUCCUUUCUGCUGGCAGAGUGUACUCUGACCAGGCUGUCCUGCUGACGGCAUUUCUCAGGGGGUCCAAUUACAAUGGAGCUCCGACCUUUUACGCUUGCUUAACUUGUUAUUCAGGAGGAGAAAGAAGAGACUGCUCCCAAGGGCAGGCCAGCAGUGUCCCGAGUCUCUCCGGAGUCCAGUGAUCCUGUUGUGCAGAUCCAGUGCUUGGUAGAAAAGAACCAUCUGAAGAAUGAAAAGCACUGACCUCGAAGCAACGUAUCAACUACGAGACAAAACUGAAGCAACCACAAAACGCAAAAAAUGAAACCCCCCCGUCACAUAAUGCAUUAUGCAUUAUGAUGAGCCGCGUCACUACGCAGGACGCAACGUGCUGUUGGCGCGGGGCUAGGUUUAGACGGAGAGCAGUUCGGAUUUGUAUGCAGCGUUACAUGACUCUAAUAAAACUUGAAGUAUUGUUCCAAAAAUUUUUUUUUGGAACAAUACCUUGUUUUAUUAACGAGUCAUGUAACGCUGCAUACAAAUCCGAACAUGCUCUCCGUCUAAACCUAGCCCCGCGCCAACAGCACAUAAUGCAUUAUGUGACACCCCCCCUUACCCUUUGGUCAAUCUGUAUCCUAACCUCCGGGUUAGUUUAUGGAGGGCCGGCUUCUGGCUGUCUGCGUUGCUUGGUUCGGCAUGGUUCGAGGGGUCAUGUCGAUAAAACGUAUUUGUGCUCCCUUUUUGUAUUUAAGGCAUGCUGCAUUGUUUCCUACUGUUUAUUAAAAAAAAAAAUCAAAUAAAAAUAGAAAAACUUGAAACUGAA